rnacentral:rRNA from 1 species
UACGUAGGGUGCAAGCGUUGUCCGGAAUUAUUGGGCGUAAAGAGCUCGUAGGCGGUUUGUCGCGUCUGCUGUGAAAACUCGGGGCUUAACCCCGGGCCUGCAGUGGGUACGGGCAGACUAGAGUGCGGUAGGGGAGACUGGAAUUCCUGGUGUAGCGGUGAAAUGCGCAGAUAUCAGGAGGAACACCGGUGGCGAAAGGCGGGUCUCUGGGCCGUAACUGACGCUGAGGAGCGAAAGCGUGGGGGAGCGAACAGG